GAACGCUUCUUUUUCCACCGGAGCUUGCUCCACCGGAAAAAGAAGAGUGGCGAACGGGUGAGUAACACGUGGGUAACCUGCCCAUCAGAAGGGGAUAACACUUGGAAACAGGUGCUAAUACCGUAUAACAAUCAAAACCGCAUGGUUUUGAUUUGAAAGGCGCUUUCGGGUGUCGCUGAUGGAUGGACCCGCGGUGCAUUAGCUAGUUGGUGAGGUAACGGCUCACCAAGGCCACGAUGCAUAGCCGACCUGAGAGGGUGAUCGGCCACAUUGGGACUGAGACACGGCCCAAACUCCUACGGGAGGCAGCAGUAGGGAAUCUUCGGCAAUGGACGAAAGUCUGACCGAGCAACGCCGCGUGAGUGAAGAAGGUUUUCGGAUCGUAAAACUCUGUUGUUAGAGAAGAACAAGGAUGAGAGUAACUGUUCAUCCCUUGACGGUAUCUAACCAGAAAGCCACGGCUAACUACGUGCCAGCAGCCGCGGUAAUACGUAGGUGGCAAGCGUUGUCCGGAUUUAUUGGGCGUAAAGCGAGCGCAGGCGGUUUCUUAAGUCUGAUGUGAAAGCCCCCGGCUCAACCGGGGAGGGUCAUUGGAAACUGGGAGACUUGAGUGCAGAAGAGGAGAGUGGAAUUCCAUGUGUAGCGGUGAAAUGCGUAGAUAUAUGGAGGAACACCAGUGGCGAAGGCGGCUCUCUGGUCUGUAACUGACGCUGAGGCUC
rnacentral:rRNA from 1 species